rnacentral:rRNA from 1 species
UAGGGAAUCUUCGGCAAUGGGGGCAACCCUGACCGAGCAACGCCGCGUGAGUGAAGAAGGUUUUCGGAUCGUAAAGCUCUGUUGUAAGAGAAGAACGUGUGUGAGAGUGGAAAGUUCACACAGUGACGGUAACUUACCAGAAAGGGACGGCUAACUACGUGCCAGCAGCCGCGGUAAUACGUAGGUCCCGAGCGUUGUCCGGAUUUAUUGGGCGUAACGCGAGCGCAGGCGGUUGAAUAAGUCUGAAGUUAAAGGCAGUGGCUUAACCAUUGUUCGCUUUGGAAUCGGUUAAUGUUGAGUUGAGGAGGGGAGAGUGGAAUUCCAUGUGUAGCGUUGAAAUGCGUAGAUAUAUGGAGGAACACCGGUGGCGAAAGCGGCUCUCUGGUCUGUAACUGACGCUGAGGCUCGAAAGCGUGGGGAGCAAACAGG